rnacentral:rRNA from 1 species
AGAGUUUGAUCCUGGCUCAGGAUAAACGCUGGCGGCGUGCCUAAUACAUGCAAGUCGAUCGAUAGAAGUCCAGCUUGCUGGACGGAAAUAGAGGCGAACGGGUGAGUAAUACGUAAGCAACCUGCCCACGAAGACCGGGAUAAUCCCUGGAAACGGGGACUAAGACCGGAUAGGUACACAGACCGCAUGAUCUGUGUAUUAAAGGAGAGAGACACUGGUGGAUGGGCUUACGGUGCAUUAGCUGGAUGGUGAGGUAACGGCCCACCAUGGCGAUGAUGCAUAGCCGGGCUGAGAGGCUGAACGGCCACAUUGGGACUGAGACACGGCCCAGACUCCUACGGGAGGCAGCAGUAGGGAAUUUUCGGCAAUGGGGGCAACCCUGACCGAGCAACGCCGCGUGAGUGAUGAAGGUCUUCGGAUUGUAAAGCUCUGUUGUAAGGGAAGAACGGCAUCUAGAGAAUAGGUGAGUGACGGUACCUUACCAGAAAGCUACGGCUAACUACGUGCCAGCAGCCGCGGUAAUACGUAGGUAGCGAGCGUUAUCCGGAAUUAUUGGGCGUAAAGGGUGCGUAGGCGGCCUGUUAAGUUUAUGGUGAAAGCGUGGGGCUCAACCCCAUAAAGCCAUAGAUACUGGCAGGCUAGAGUACUGGAGAGGGUAGUGGAAUUCCAUGUGUAGCGGUAAAAUGCGUAGAUAUAUGGAGGAACACCGGUGGCGAAGGCGGCUACCUAGACAGAGACUGACGCUGAGGCACGAAAGCGUGGGGAGCAAAUAGGAUUAGAUACCCUAGUAGUCCACGCUGUAAACGAUGAAUGCUAGGUAUCGGGGCGACCCGGUGCCGAAACUAACGCGAUAAGCAUUCCGCCUGUGGAGUAUGCACGCAAGUGUGAAACAUAAAGGAAUUGACGGGGGCCCGCACAAGCGGUGGAGUAUGUGGUUUAAUUCGACGCAACGCGAAGAACCUUACCAGGCCUUGACAUCCCUUGCAAAAUCCUGGAGACAGGACAGAGGUUAUCAAGGAGACAGGUGGUGCAUGGUUGUCGUCAGCUCGUGUCGUGAGAUGUUGGGUUAAGUCCCGCAACGAGCGCAACCCUUGUCUUUAGUUGCUACGCAAGAGCACUCUAAUGGGACCGCUACCGACAAGGUGGAGGAAGGUGGGGACGACGUCAAAUCAUCAUGCCCCUUAUGACCUGGGCUACACACAUAAUACAAUGGCCGUUAACAGAGGGAAGCAAAGCGGUGACGCAGAGCAAAACCCUAAAAACGGUCCCAGUUCGGACUGUAGGCUGCAACCCGCCUACACGAAGUUGGAAUUGCUAGUAAUCGCGGAUCAGCAUGCCGCGGUGAAUACGUUCCCGGGCCUUGCACUCACCGCCCGUCA